rnacentral:rRNA from 1 species
GAUGAACGCUAGCGGCAGGCCUAACACAUGCAAGUCGAGGGGUAACUAGAGUGAUAGCAAUAUUACUUUGGCUAGACCGGCGCACGGGUGCGUAACACGUAUGCAACCUACCUUAUACUGGGGAAUAACUUCGAGAAAUCGGCGCUAAUACCCCAUAACAUUGCGAAGAGGCAUCUCUUUGCAAUUAAAGCCCCGGCGGUAUACGAUGGGGAAGCGUCCAAUUAGCUAGUUGGUGAGGUAACGGCUCACCAAGGCUACGAUUGGUAGGGGUUCUGAGAAGAUGAUCCCCCACACUGGUACUGAGACACGGACCAGACUCCUACGGGAGGCAGCAGUGAGGAAUAUUGCGCAAUGGACGAAAGUCUGACGCAGCCAUGCCGCGUGCAGGAUGACGGCCCUAUGGGUUGUAAACUGCUUUUGUACGGGAAUAAACCCUUCUACGUGUAGGAGGCUGAAGGUACCGUAAGAAUAAGCACCGGCUAACUCCGUGCCAGCCGCCGCGGUAACAC